GGCUCUGUGGCGCAAUGGAUAGCGCAUUGGACUUCUAAUUCAAAGCUUGUGGGUUCGAGCCCCACCAGAGUCG
rnacentral:tRNA from 1 species